rnacentral:tRNA from 1 species
GCAUUUGUAGUCCAAUGGUUAGGAUAAUUGCCUUCAUAGCUAUAGACUCGGGUUUGACUCCCGGUAAAUGCA